rnacentral:rRNA from 1 species
UGGGGAAUAUUGGACAAUGGGCGCAAGCCUGAUCCAGCAAUGCCGCGUGUGUGAAGAAGGCCUUCGGGUUGUAAAGCACUUUUAUCAGGAGCGAAACGCUGUCGGCUAAUACCCGGCGGAACUGACGGUACCUGAGGAAUAAGCACCGGCUAACUUCGUGCCAGCAGCCGCGGUAAUACGAAGGGUGCAAGCGUUAAUCGGAAUUACUGGGCGUAAAGCGUGCGUAGGCGGUUUCUUAAGUCUGCUGUGAAAUCCCCGGGCUCAACCUGGGAAUGGCAGUGGAUACUGGGAGGCUAGAGUGUGUCAGAGGGUGGUGGAAUUCCCGGUGUAGCGGUGAAAUGCGUAGAGAUCGGGAGGAACAUCAGUGGCGAAGGCGGCCACCUGGGACAACACUGACGCUGAGGCACGAAAGCGUGGGGAGCAAACAGGAUUAGAUACCCUGGUAGUCCACGCCCUAAACGAUGCGAACUGGAUGUUGGUCUCAACUCGGAGAUCAGUGUCGAAGCUAACGCGUUAAGUUCGCCGCCUGGGGAGUACGGUCGCAAGACUGAAACUCAAAGGAAUUGACGGGGUCAUGAGCUG